rnacentral:rRNA from 1 species
AUGAAUUGUAUAAGUUGGAACUGUCGGGGGCUGGCCAACAAACCGAUAGUUCGCGACUUAGUUGGCAUGGUGAGAAGUACAAAAGCGAAACUAAUGUUCUUGUGUGAAACUAGACAGAGCUCGGAAAAAGUAAAACGGUUGCGUGGUAGAUUAGGCUUGAGAGGUUUCUCAGGAGUUAGUAGUGAUGGUUUGAGUGGAGGCCUUGCCCUCUUUUGGUGUGAAAGUCUGCAUGUACAGAUUCAGUCAGCUAAUGAGAGAUUUUUGAUGCGUAUGUGA